UCUUCAGGGCCUUUGCACUCACUGGUCUGCUUGUUGGAGCCCUCCUGUCCUGGCUCUUUCCUUUGACUACGGCUUAUCCUUGCCCCCAAACCAGCUCAUCCUCCAGAGCCAGGGGGGGCACUGGGAAGUGGGAUCCCGCCUUUCUUCUGGACUCUGUGUUGUCAGCCAUGAGCACAUGGUCCUGUGAUUUAAAAUGCCUUUGGCUCUUCUCUGCCACACUGGAGGAUUCCAGAAACCUCUCACUUCCAUUCUCCACCUGGGCCUCAGCCAGUCCUGCAUGACCUGCCCAGAGUCAGAAGGCUUCUUACCAUGAAGGGAUGGCUCCCCGCUCCCACCAUGUCUGGCAGGGCCUCAUCCUUGUCCUUGGGCUGCAGGCCUCAAUUUCCCUGUUUCAGAGAGAGCACUCCACCCACAACUCUGGUGCAGCUUAUCCUUCCUCUGCAAAUUGAGCCCAAACUCCCACCUCCUGGUGGACCCAAGGGUCCCUCAGGUCCCAAGCCUGGGUUCCAGUCCUGCAUACCACCACUCUCAAGCCUGGAAGAGGGGCUGGGAUGCGUGGGGGAAGCCCCAUCUGCUGACACUGAGGUCAUCCCUAGAGGGCCAGGAGAAACAGCUCAACAGCCCCAAGAAACCAGGCAGCUGGCUCUGAUUUCCUUGGGGUUUGGAGGAAGGCAGAGUAGAGAGGAAAAGGACUCAGGUAAGUUUGGCUGGGCUGGCUCCCUGCCCCAAAGUCAUAGGUCAAGGCGAGCCCUUUCCUCUUGCAUGCCGCUCACCAGAAUCUUUGCCCUGGGCUGAUCUCCCCUCCAUUUUAUGACACUUUAGGGCUUGUGGGCAGCACCUCAUGAGCCCACCUGGGGCUCUGAGGGAUGGAAGCCAGGGCUUUAGGGGAGCAGGGGUCCUUGGCUGCUGGCCUCUAGCCACCGUAUCACCCUUGGCCUCCCACUUGAAGCUUCUGAUCCUUCUGAAGCCACCUCUGCCAGGAAAGGCCUGGAGCCCCAGUGGUUUGAGCAGGGGUAGGGGACAGGAGGGUGACUCGGGCAGGGAUUCCCAGCCAGAGCAAAGGCAAGGAGCAAUGAUGGAGUCCGGGAUGGUGCCCUGGUCCAUCUUUGCCAAACCAGCUAUGGUGUUUUGAUUAGGAGAGCCAGCUGUGGCAGGCUCCUGACAGUAAAGCCAAUCCAACCUCUGAGGCUGGGAGGGCGAAGGGGGCUGGGAAUUCCCAGGGCACCUGGCAGGCGGAUGUGCCAGGGGUCUGGGCUGGGUCUGCUUCGGGUGGGCCAAAGGGCGGUGCCUGGUAGGUCUCGCUGUAGCUGCCAGGCCUACUUGCCUCAUUAGCAUCUGCCUACUGCCAGCCUGGGCCUGUCUGGUCCCCUCCCCAUCAGUCCACACAGCCGUUUUUCAGGAAUUCCUCCUAUAAGGCUUUGAUGGUGACAGUGAUGGAGAUCAUGUGACCAAGAUGAAGUUGGGGAAAUGGCCUGGGAACCAGCUGGCCUGGCCCUGACACAAGGUUGUUGUGUUGAGGCCUCAGCGCUCAGCCCUGUUCUAGGUUUCAUGCCCAACACCAUCCCAUAUGGGCUCAGCUGUCCAGCGGUCGCCUGGAGCUCUAUGUGCCAUGUUCUCAGGAGUGCCUUGGCCUGACACCUGUACCAGACGAGGUCAAGUGCUGACCACCUGCCAGACCCUGCGCUGGACAUAGCAGGACAACCCGUUGUGGCCCUCAGAUGACCAAGGUAUGAGAAGCUGGGGAUCAUCAAGUAGCUGCUCAGAACCCCACACCCUCCCUCUGGCCGGCUCUAGGCGCCCUGAGGUCUGCUUUUCACCAGCAGCCCUGUGAGGCCAGUGCUACUCUUACCCCAUGCUGUGGAUGAGGAGGCCAAGGCACAGAAAGGUAAAGUCAGAGCAUUCCUGGCAGUAGGGACAGUAGGUACAAAGGCCCUGGGGCUGGAAUGUUCCUGGUGUGUCCGAGGAAUAAUCAGGAGGCUGGCGUGGUGGGAGGGGCAUGAAGGGAGGGUGGAGGGUGGUAGGAGAUGGGGGUGGGGGAAUGGGCAGGAUUGAGUAGGGCCUCUUGGCUGUGGUGAGCAUUGUGGCCUAUACUUGAAGGAGGCUGGGGAACUGCUGGAAGGGGUUGAGCAGGGAUGGCAUGAACUAUCUUACAAGUUUUCUUUUUAUUAUUAUUUUUUAAUCUUACAGCUUAGCCGACUCUGGUUGCUAUGUUGAGAACAGAGGGAGUGGGCCAAGGGCAGAAGUAGACCAGGCAGGAAAGGAGCAGGCAUCAUCUCAGCAGGUCCUGGCUCCUUGUGGGGCUAGCUCAGGAUGGCCUGAGUGGUGGGCAGAUUGGAAGGGCUCUCACCUGACCUGCCCCAGCCUAAGCCCCCUUCCCUCACCAGAGGGGCCUCCAUAGCUGAGGUUCCCCCAAACCAGAGGCAAUUAUCCCAACAGGAGCUUUGGGAGGAAAUACAGAUGGCCAAUAGGCACAUGAAAAGAUGCUCAACAUCGCUGAUUAUUAGAGAAAUGCAAAUCAAAACUACAACGAGGUAUCACCUCACACCAGU